UACGUAGGCAGCAAGCGUUGUUCGGAGUUACUGGGCGUAAAGAGUGCGUAGGCGGUCCUAUAAGUUCCGUGUGAAAUCUCCCGGCUCAACUGGGAGGGUGCGCGGAAGACUGUAGGGCUCGAGUGUGGGAGAGGUAAGCGGAAUUCCUGGUGUGAGCGGUGAAAUGCGUAGAUAUCAGGAGGAACACCUGUGGUGUAGACAGCUUACUGGACCAUAACUGACGCUGAGGCACGAAAGCGUGGGUAGCAAACAGG
rnacentral:rRNA from 1 species